GACAGAGGGUGCAAACGUUGUUCGGAAUUACUGGGCGUAAAGCGCGUGUAGGCGGCCAUCUAAGUCGGGCGUGAAAUCCCACGGCUCAACCGUGGAAGUGCACUCGAAACUGGAUGGCUAGAGUCCUGGAGAGGAAGGUGGAAUGCUUGGUGUAGAGGUGAAAUUCGUAGAUAUCAAGCGGAACACCGGUGGCGAAGGCGGCCUCUGGGACAGUGACUGACGCUGAGA
rnacentral:rRNA from 1 species